rnacentral:rRNA from 1 species
GGGCCCGCACAAGCGGUGGAGCAUGUGGCUUAAUUCGAGGCAACGCGAAGAACCUUACCUGGUCUUGACAUGCCCGUCAUAGUUUUCCGAAAGGAAUUCGUCAGUUCGGCUGGACGGUGCACAGGUGCUGCAUGGCUGUCGUCAGCUCGUGUCGUGAGAUGUUCGGUUAAGUCCGGCAACGAGCGCAACCCUCGUUUCCAGUUGCCAGCGGGUAAUGCCGGGGACUCUGGAAAGACAAACCUCUUGUUGAGGUGGGAAGGUGGGGACGACGUCAAGUCAGUAUGGCCCUUACGACCAGGGCUGCACACGUGCUACAAUGCCCGGCACAAUGGGAUGCAAUAUCGCGAGAUUGAGCAAAUCCACAAAACCGGGCCCAGUUCGGAUUGGAGUCUGCAACUCGACUCCAUGAAGUUGGAAUCGCUAGUAAUGGC